rnacentral:lncRNA from 12 species
GGGACAUUUAGGUGGCUCUGGACAUGGUUGGGGUUGGGCUGGGGACAGUUGGGUGACACCAGAUAUGGUUGGGGUUUGGGGAUGGUCAGACUGGGGACACUCAGGUGGCUCUAGAUAUGGUUGAGGUCAGACUGGGGACACUCAAGUGACACUCUGGGGUCAGACUGGGGACACUCCGGUGACACUGAGGUGACACUCAGGUGACACUCAUGUGACACUCUGGGAUGGGUUGGGGACACUCAGGUGACACUCAGGUGACACUCUGGGGUCGGUUGAGGACAUUCAGGUGACACUCUGGGGUCAGACUGGGGACACUCAGGUGACACUCAGGUGACACUCUGGGGUCGGCUGGGGACACAGGUGACACUGAGGUGACACUCUGGACAGGUAUUUCAUGAACAUCACGUGGGGCCAGAAGGAUUUCUCCUUCAACGAGGACGGGUACCUGGUGAACCCCUCGCUGGUCGUCAUCUCCCUCAACAAGGAGCGCACCUGGGAGGUGGUGGGCAGCUGGGAGCGGCAGGUGCUCAGACUCAAGUACCCGGGGGGGGGGGGGGGGGGGGGGGGGGGGGGGGGGGGGGGGGGGGGGGGGGGGGGGGGGGGGGG